rnacentral:rRNA from 1 species
AUUGAACGCUGGCGGCAUGCCUUACACAUGCAAGUCGAACGGUAGCAGGUCUUCGGAUGCUGACGAGUGGCGAACGAGUGAGUAAUACAUCGGAACGUGCCCGAUCGUGGGGGAUAACGGAGCGAAAGCUUUGCUAAUACCGCAUACGAUCUACGGAUGAAAGCAGGGGACCGCAAGGCCUUGCGCGAACGGAGCGGCCGAUGGCAGAUUAGAUAGUUGGUGGGAUAAAAGCUUACCAAGCCGACGAUCUGUAGCUGGUCUGAGAGGACGACCAGCCACACUGGGACUGAGACACGGCCCAGACUCCUACGGGAGGCGGCAGUGGGGAAUUUUGGACAAUGGGCGCAAGCCUGAUCCAGCAAUGCCGCGUGCAGGAUGAAGGCCUUCGGGUUGUAAACUGCUUUUGUACGGAACGAAAAGGCUCUGGUUAAUACCUGGGGCUCAUGACGGUACCGUAAGAAUAAGCACCGGCUAACUACGUGCCAGCCGCCGCCGUAACAC